rnacentral:rRNA from 1 species
GGCGAACGCUGGCGGCGUGCUUAACACAUGCAAGUCGAACGGAAAGGCCUGCUUUCCCUUGUGGAUUGCGGGUACUCGAGUGGCGAACGGGUGAGUAACACGUGAGUGAUCUGCCCCCAACUUGGGUAUAAGCCUGGGAAACUGGGUCUAAUUCCCGAUAGGACUGCAGGGUGGUGCCUGUGGUGGAAAACGAUUUUCUAGUGGUUGGGGAUGAGCUCGCGGCCUAUCAGCUUGUUGGUGGGGUAAUGGCCUACCAAGGCGGCGACGGGUAGCCGGCCUGAGGGGGUGGACGGCCACAUUGGGACUGAGAUACGGCCCAGACUCCUACGGGAGGCAGCAGUGGGGAAUAUUGCACAAUGGGCGGAAGCCUGAUGCAGCGACGCCGCGUGGGGGAUGACGGCCUUCGGGUUGUAAACUCCUUUCGACCGCGAGGAAGCCACCUGGUUGGAAGGGUGGUGACGGUAGUGGUAGAAGAAGCACCGGCUAACUACGUG